UACGUAGGGUGCAAGCGUUAAUCGGAAUUACUGGGCGUAAAGCGCAUGUAGGCGGAUCCAUAAGUCGGGCGUGAAAUCCCCAGGCUCAACCUGGGAACUGCGCUCGAAACUGUAGGUCUUGAGUGUCGGAGAGGAUGGCGGAAUUCCUGGUGUAGAGGUGAAAUUCGUAGAUAUCAGGAGGAACACCGGUGGCGAAGGCGGCCAUCUGGACGACAACUGACGCUGAGAUGCGAAAGCGUGGGGAGCAAACAGG
rnacentral:rRNA from 1 species